rnacentral:lncRNA from 1 species
AAUAUUAGGCAAAUGGCUUAGCAAACCUAAAAGGGUUUGGAAAGGGGGGAAAAUCCCCCAAAUUCUUUGAGAAGAACCAGGAGGGAGAAAUCCCUAAAUCAAACCUCUUUUCCUAUUCUCUUGUGCCAUCUUCACCGAUUCAGGGAGACGUCGUGAUUGCGAAUCUCGCCAGGAAGGAGAGCCAUUGAUGAUCAUCUCUUCUCCAUUCUUCUUCGACGGCGGCGACGAUGACCGAGGGCCAUCCAUGGCGGUUUCUCCGUUUUCUUUUUUGCAGCGGUGACAAUGAAUCCACGGUUGUGCCGUUUUGAAGCCCCUUCGUGGUUAGCGAUGUUUCUUCUCCUUCAUUCCGGGUCGGUCGAGAUGGUUUGCGGUCCUGGAUCAUACCCGCAAAGUGGUUCUUGAUGGUGGUAAUCGUCUUAGUUUUCGGGACAGCUUAGUAAUUUCUAUUUCCUUUCCCUUUGUUGGACCGAAUCGGUCCUCUUUUUAGUAAGUGAAUGUAAUGGGAUGUACUUAGAUCCCUACAACAAUGGUGGUAAUCACCGAGCUUAACGGCGAUUUUUUUUGCGUUGAUAUGGAUCCUCGAAUGGCUAUUUGGUUCGUGCAGGGUACGAUUGAAUUUUCUACUGUUCAGGUUGUAUCUUAAUGGUUAUGCAUUUGAAAAGCUUUCAUGUAUUACGAAUUCCUCAUGAAUGGAUUUGGACUAUGAUUAAAUGUCA